rnacentral:rRNA from 1 species
UACGUGGGAUGCAAGCGUUAUCCGGAUUUAUUGGGUUUAAAGGGUGCGUAGGCUGUGAGGUAAGUCAGCGGUGAAAUGCCCCCGCUCAACGGGGUGAAGUGCCAUUGAUACUGCCUUGCUGGAAUGCGGAUGCCGUGGGAGGAAUGUGUGGUGUAGCGGUGAAAUGCAUAGAUAUCACACAGAACACCGAUUGCGAAGGCAUCUCACGAAUCCGCGAUUGACGCUGAUGCACGAAAGCGUGGGUAUCAAACAGG